UUUCCCGGUGUAGCGGUGAAAUGCGUAGAUAUCGGGAAGAACACCAGUGGCGAAGGCGCUCUGCUGGGCCAUCACUGACGCUCAUGGACGAAAGCCAGGGGAGCGAAAGGGAUUAGAUACCCCUGUAGUCCUGGCCGUAAACGAUGAACACUAGGUGUCGGGGGAAUCGACCCCUCCGGUGUCGUAGCCAACGCGUUAAGUGUUCCGCCUGGGGAGUACGCACGCAAGUGUGAAACUCAAAGGAAUUGACGGGGGCCCGCACAAGCGGUGGAGUAUGUGGUUUAAUUCGAUGCAACGCGAAGAACCUUACCAGGGUUUGACAUCCUGCGAAUUUCUUGGAAACUUGAGAGUGCCUUCGGGAGCGCAGUGACAGGUGGUGCAUGGCUGUCGUCAGCUCGUGUCGUGAGAUGUUGGGUUAAGUCCCGCAACGAGCGUAACCCACGUCUUUAGUUGCCAGCAUUUAGUUGGGCACUCUAGAGAGACCGCCGGUGAUAAACCGGAGGAAGGUGUGGAUGACGUCAAGUCAUCAUGCCCCUUACAUCCUGGGCUACACACGUACUACAAUGCUACGGACAAAGGGCAGCAAGUUCGCGAGGACAAGCAAAUCCCAUAAACCGUGGCUCAGUUCAGAUCGUAGGCUGCAACUCGCCUACGUGAAGGAGGAAUCGCUAGUAAUCGCAGGUCAGCAUACUGCGGUGAAUACGUUCCCGGGUUUUGUACACACCGCCCG
rnacentral:rRNA from 1 species